CCUACGGGGGGCUGCAGUGGGGAAUAUUGGACAAUGGGCGAAAGCCUGAUCCAGCCAUGCCGCGUGUGUGAAGAAGGCCUUCGGGUUGUAAAGCACUUUCAGUGGGGAAGAAAGCCUUGGGGCUAAUACCCUCGAGGAAGGACAUCACCCACAGAAGAAGCACCGGCUAACUCCGUGCCAGCAGCCGCGGUAAUACGGAGGGUGCGAGCGUUAAUCGGAAUUACUGGGCGUAAAGCGCGCGUAGGCGGUCUGAUAAGCCGGUUGUGAAAGCCCCGGGCUCAACCUGGGAACGGCAUCCGGAACUGUCAGGCUAGAGUGCAGGAGAGGAAGGUAGAAUUCCCGGUGUAGCGGUGAAAUGCGUAGAGAUCGGGAGGAAUACCAGUGGCGAAGGCGGUCUUCUGGACUGACACUGACGCUGAGGUGCGAAAGCGUGGGUAGCAAACAGGAUUAGCUACCCCAGUAGUC
rnacentral:rRNA from 1 species